rnacentral:rRNA from 1 species
CCUACGGGGGACUGCAGUGAGGAAUAUUGGUCAAUGGACGAGAGUCUGAACCAGCCAAGCAGCGUGAAGGAUGACUGCCCUCUGGGUUGUAAACUUCUUUUAUAUGGGAAUAAAUCAGGGUAUGCAUCCCCUCUUGUAUGUACCAUAUGAAUAAGGAUCGGCUAACUCCGAGACAGCAGCCGCGGUAAUACGGAGGAUCCGAGCGUUAUCCGGAUUUAUUGGGGUUAACGGGACCGUAGGUGGAUUGUUAAGUCAGUGGUGAAAGUUUACGGCUUAACAGUAAAAUUGCAGUUGAAACUGGUAUUCUAGAGUAUAGUAGAGGUGGGCGGAAUUCGUGGUGUAGCGGUGAAAUGCGUAGAGAUCACGAAGAACUCCGAUUGCGAAGGCAGCUCACUAGA